ensembl:lncRNA
GUGGAAAUGCUAAGUCACGGCCAGAAGCAGUAAUUGAGCACCUGGUGGGAAGGCAGGGCCAACCCAGGGAAGCUCAGGUGCAUGCAAUGCACCUGAGUGGCUGGAAGAGGUGGAAUCAGGAUCCACCCCUUCCCAGACCUCAUUUAAGGGCUGGCAGUGGAGGUGAGGAUAUCUCUUGUUGGAGAUUUCUACCUACCAGAGGCCUUCUAAAGGAAGACAAAAAGCAGAAAAAAUUGCACUUAAAUCUCUGGAUCUAUGAAGAAAGGAGGAAUACAUCAGGAAAAAAGGACUCUAGCCAGCAAUAGCAUCAUUAAAUUAUUCUAAUCAAGAGAGCUUCAGGGUCACCAAGAAUCAACUGCAAGUCCAUAUUUAUGAAGUUAUGGGUGUAAUCUCACACUAACAUAUUUGAUUGGCCUCUGGAACUCACAGACCACAAAUAUUUAGGCGAAUCUUGGGCUUCUGGGGCAGAGUGAAAGCAAUCUGAAUGCAAUAUUAGCCAUUGCGCUAUAACCAAAAGUUCUAUUCAUUCAUAAUUGAAAUGGAGCUUGAGGAUACACCAGUUCUAUUGGGAGUCUGGGAAAGACAAAUGCACUUCAACAGUGGAAACAGGUCAUUAGG